UACGGAGGGUGCGAGCGUUGUCCGGAAUCACUGGGCGUAAAGGGCGCGUAGGCGGCGCGGGAAGUCCAUGGUGAAAGCCCGAGGCUCAACUUCGGGUCGGCCAAGGAUACUCCCGGGCUCGAGCACUGUAGAGGCAGGUGGAAUUCCGGGUGUAGCGGUGGAAUGCGUAGAGAUCCGGAAGAACACCGGUGGCGAAGGCGGUCUGCUGGGGUGAGGCUGACGCUGAUGCGCGACAGCGUGGGGAGCAAACAGG
rnacentral:rRNA from 1 species